UCAUCAUGGAAAGUCCCUAUCUAAAUGCGUUGGUAGGAUGGUCUAUUCUUUACAAUUGGGGGAGUAUUAUAAAUAUAUUGCAGAAACUCAUUUGUACCUUCCAUUUUAGCUACCACCUAUUAUAGGUGAGUCAUUUUGUUAAGCAGCAACUAAUUUAUUUUUCAGUGUUGCCUCUUUGGUUCAAAUUGCGGAAGCCCACAUUUCACUGCCUCACUGUUUCAAAAUGGUACACUUAUAUAGUUACAGUAUCCUGUGAAAUUAAGUACUUGACCGUUGGCGUAUGUUCGCCUUAAUCAUCCUCCAUUGCCGUCUGGACCAGUCCAGUAUAUAUAUGAACCGACAUCUUAUGACACGAUAUUAUUUACCAUGUAAUCCAGUGCAGAUGCCGUUAUCCACUUAGGUAUCACAACUUAUGUUAUGUUCCUUAUCAUAUUUCUAAUGAAUUUUCAGAGACACUGAUCUUGAAACUGCUGUAAUUCAACAGCCUAUGAACAAUCGAACAUACAUAGGUAAUCAUACCUUCAUACCUUGGAUCUUCCCACGAUACAGAACAAUAGCCCAAUCACUUCAACUUUUUUUUUGCAAGGCACUUCUAACUAUUUUAACACAUUGUUUACCAUCUGUUUACUAUUAGACUUCCACAUCAGCCAUAAUUUAAAAUGAUUUAAAGUAUCCUUUAUUCAGUUUUGAACAUAAAAAUUCAGUGAAAAUAAUAAUUCAAUUUUGGACAUCUUUUCCUCCGCAACAUUAUGAUGCAUAUGGUCAUUGUGUAAUAGAAUGUGUUUUCAGGGAGUAAAAUGGCUAGGUGUCGAGGAAAUCCUGAGAAAAAUUGGAGUACAAUCAGAUCUUGGAAGAUUAUUUGCAUGGACAAACACUUAGCUCUUCUAAACAAGAAUUUGCUACUUCUGGACCAUCAUCGUGGGGGCCUCCUGAAGAUUGCUUGUACCUGAAUUUUCUGCUGUUGCGCUCUGUCAUUGGAAAUCCGUCCAGCUGCCCACUGGUGAAUCCUGUUGAUCGUUGGCGCCAGGAGAUUGCCUGUGAGAAACUCAUUCAAAUAAGAUUGUACAUGGAUCUGUCGAUGUCGAACUAUUCUUAGAGGCUGCACUUGGUUUAUAUUGUGGAAAAGUAAACAAACCUGACAGGCUAAAGGCUCUUUUACUUCUUGCACGCUCCAUUAAGGCAGAUCCAAGCACAGUUAUCUUGUGGGUGUUUUAUCUUCAUAUUUACUAUCAAAAGGAUGAAGGACUUGGAACAAUUUAAGUGAACUGCAGGAGGGUGGGCGGAGGGCGCGC